UCCCGGAAGACGACUCCUCCAUUGACUACUUGAGUCCACACACAAGCCAUGAUCUAACACUUAUAAAAGCAUACCGAUGGAAACAAUUUCCUUCAAACAAAGAAAAAAACAGAGUAAGAAAUGGGUGUCAUGAUAAGGUAUUUGUUGAUGACCUUAGUGGUCUAUGGAGGAUUACUACUACUCUUUGGAUCCGCUUUCAAGGGUGCCCAUGCCUCUGUGUCCUACUACUUUGAUCAACCUCAAUCUAACCACUUCUAUCCUAAAUAUUUGAAGGUGGUUUCCCGGAGAAGGAGCACACAACCACCACCACCCCCUGCUCGGAAUUUACAACAUCAUUAUGUCAUACCUCCAAUAUAUAAGCCACCAUAUUAUAAGCCGAAGCCGCCUAUAUAUAUGCCAAGGCCAAAGCUGCAGCCGCCGCCGCCGCCGCCGCCGCCAGCAUCAUCAAGGUUGGAAUCAUCGCCGCUGCCGCCAGUAUGAAGAAGAUGAAUAGUGUUGUCCGAAUCUAUUGAUGAAUUUUUGCGACAUGGCCGAAAAUCAGACAAGUCCCUAAUAAGUAGCAAUAAUUGGCAGUAGAUUUAUCAUCAAGGGGAUCUCUGGCCUAGUCAACAUCAAAAUAAGCCUGAUGCUGAAGGGAUGAGUGUGAGGAAAAAUGAAGUCUAUGAAAUAGAGUUCACUUGACAUAAUGCAAGAUACACUACAAGAAAAACCAAGUUUUGCGGGGUGCGACCUCACCGCAAUUACCCUGUUUUAUCGCAGAGUUAGAUGAACUACUGCGAGUUCAUUUCACCGCUAAUCGGUCGGGAAUAAUACGUCUGGUCAGACUAAUUUCGGUGAAUACUUGAAGCUGGCCGCAGUUGCUAUAGAUAAAGCUGUCGAUGGUUCCCGCAGCAGAAGACGAUGGACACCGAGGGUUUGAAGGGCAAUUUCGGUGGAAAUUCGUCGGCUUUGAAGGCCAAUUUCGGUGAUAGUUACGGCCAUUUUCUAGCACGGCAAUCAUUACGAUUUGGCGAAUUUGGGCACACCGAAAUUCCUCGAGUAUGUUGCCGCCGACUGCUCCCGCAGUAAUGAUUCGAUCCCAUCUUGGAUUGAAGGGCAAUUACUGCCAAAUAUUGGGACGCCACUGUUUAAUGCUUACUACGAAUUGUUUGGGUCACCGCAAAAGCUACUUCAGCUUUUUGCUGGAAAAUCGGGAAAAUAUAUAAAACAAUGGGGAUGAGAUUGCGGUGAAUUUGAUCUGGCACUCGAUUCGUCGAGUUCGCAUAUUUCAGGGGAAGUGGUGAAACCGUAGGAAAUGCCAAUUGCUUGUGGGUAAUUGCGAUGAAUAAAUAGAGGCAUUUCUUGCGGAUUCACGAUGAAUUUGUUGGGCAGAAGUCUACUGUUUUUUUGAAAGGGUUUUUUCCGAAUUCAUGAUCAGCUACAUAUGUUAUUAUGGCUGGAACUGAAUCUCAGAAACCAACCCACAGGUAUUUGUUCCUUAAUCUCAACUACUCGUAAACCCAUUUGCAUUUCAUACGUACAAUAGUCUACUUCUAUUCAUAGCCCCUGAACCCAUUUUUACAAUAUUGAGAAAUUUGCCCCUGAACCCAUUUUUACAAUGUGUCAAUUUAACAACCUUGUAAAUAAAUCUCCAAGUACAUAUUCUUUGAAUUGCAUUUUUGAACAACCUGAGAACUCGUAUCAAUCUCUUGUAAUACAUAGUACUCUGCCAAUCCUUGUUUCUAGGACUUUUUGUUUUAGAUUUAAUGUAGCUUUUUUCACAUGUUCAGCAAACUAAAACAGCAUAUAUAUUACUCUGUUUUCAUGUAGAAUAUUGCCAUCGAGGUUUCAUACAAGCUUGAAUUAACAUCUCAUUUACGUUCACAACAUUAUACAUUAUACAUGAUAGAAAGAGGAAAUGUCAUGCAAAAUCAAGCUUAUAUUCUUAAAUACUAUCUACCACUGGUGUGCUAGAAAUUAUAUCAUGUGCCACUCAUGGGAUUAGUCCUCAACAUGGCUAUACAUUUAAACCUGGGAGUGAAGUCUAUAUAUAGCAUCCUGUAGGCAGGUUCAUUAGUGCAUCAAAAAAUUACAAGCUUCCCUCAUAUCAACCUGUCAUAUGUACCUGCAUAUUACAAAGAUGAAAACAAUUACAGUCAAAACACACUCUACAGCCUACUCCAUACCAUUCAACCUGAAUUGUUGAACAAAAAUCAUUCACCAAAACUCCAUUACAGUCCAACCUAGACAGAAUUUUAUUUUUACCUAUUAAGCUAUAUUCUCUCAAGUAUAUGUUUAAAUAUCACAAACAUCAUGAAACCUUGUCUUACUACUUGUACUUGGCAUCUGAUUUGUUUUUUGGAAUGUGAGAAUAAUAUUGAAAGGUUUUUUAGGAAUAUGGAAGAAUGUUAUUUAUGAAAUUAUAUAACUGCAUCCAGUAUUUAUGCAUCUAUUGCCAUCGAGGCUACUAGAGAAGAUUGUAUAAGUUUAACAAAUAACUUGAUUGAGAAAAGGGAAAUAAUUAUUUCUAAACCAAUAAAAUCCUUUAAAAAAACCAGACAACUUGUUUUAGAAUGAGACUCCUCUCAUACGCUAAGAAAUGCAUGAUUAGAGUAAUAGAUCAUCAAAUCUGAUGCAAAAUCAUCACACCAAAUAUGGAGGGAAAUUAACCAUAGUCAAAACAGUUACAUGCUAAAGUCCAGCUAUAAACCAUCACCUAUAGUUCAGUCAACAAGUCUUUACCAUUUCAGGAAAUUUUGUAUUGCCUAGUAAGCUAGAUUCUCUCAAGUUCCAGGUGCUAAAACCAGUUAACACCAUUUUCUUUUAUUAAACUACUACUUGUACUUGGUAUCACGAGUAUCUUCAAACAGAGAAUAAAGCUACAAAUCUGAUGCAAAAAUAAUAGAUAACAAAUAUUUCCAGAAAUUAACCAUUUAAAAAACAGUUACAUGCUAAACUCAGCUACUUUAACCAUCACCUAUGCUCAAUCCAUUUCAGCAUUACCUCAAUAUAAUAUUUUAUUUUAGCCACUAGGCUAGAUUCUCUCAAGUUGUAGGUUAUAAUAUCCAGUUAACAUCACAAGUCUCUUAUUAAACUAAUACUUGUACUAUGUACCACAUGAGUAUCUUGAUACCAAAGAAUAAUAUUGGACAGCAUUAGAAAAGAAUAUGGAGGAAUGUUAUAUAUCAAAAUAUAUUUUGCAUCUAGUAUUAAUAUUGUUUGUAAGUGCCUGCUAGAGAAGAUUGCAUAUAUAUAACUAGUCUAAUUGAUUGAGAAAAGGGAAAUAAUUAUUCUUUGGUACACCAAUAGUUUUAUUUCAAUCUUUCAUUCAACUUGUUUAAGCAUUAUGUAUCCUCUCAUACACUAAGAAAUGCAUGAUUUAUAGAAUAGUACUUCAAAUCUACUAUUUCUUAUCACACCAAAUAUUUCUGGAAAUUAACCAUUAAAAUCCCAAUUACAUGUUAAAGUCAAUUUUAACCAUCACCUAUACUCAAUCCAUUACAGCAUUACCUCAUAAGAAAUCUAUUAUGAAACCUAGUGAGCUAGAUUCUCUCAAGUUGCAGGUUCAUAUAUCCAGUUAACUUCAUUUAGUAUUACCACAAGCUUAACCAUUGUCAAACAAGACACAGCAGUAGGAAGGGGUAGAAUUAAGCACACUUACAAAGGGCCAGACAAACCUUUAACAAACUGUUUCACAGCCCCAGUUCCAUGAUUUACAUGCCCAUCACUCUGUUGGGAUGCCAUUCCAGCAACUAAAACCAACUUCAGAAAACCUGCGCCAUUUCCCCCACCACAACUAUGUAACAAAAUAUGUUCCUGCCACCAAAAGUUAGUAAUACCUAACAAAAUAUCUCUAUUACUGGGGAAAGAUAAACUGAUUUUCACCAAAUAUUUAACUAGCUAAAUGCAUCUAUUUUUACAUACCAAGAUAUUGCCAUAAUCUUAACUGACAUCAAGAAAAUGCUAGUUUACUCAGCACACAUCACCACAUCGUGUGUCUCAUAUAUUGCAUAUCAUUAAAGAUAACCAAAUAAAUAGAUCUGCAUGAAGCGUUGUCAGACAAAACUUACAAAGGCACUAUAGAAGUGAACCAUCAUGGAGAAGGUACCCGUACAGAGUGGACUAAGGUAAAUUCCAAGUUGGUAUUCUUUUGCUCUCAACUUUUCUCCACUCUUUUCUAACAUUGAUUAUAACAAAAAAUAUUCUAUUACAAUAAAUGGAAAGAAAAGUCCUUAUAUUAAAUAAUUCUAGGACUUGGGCAUAUCAACUGCCCUUGGAACUGAUUUGAAUAUAUAUAUAUAGAUAGAUAUAUUUUCCCAAUAAAUCACUUGAUUAUGUUUACAUUCAUUUGCAGAUGUAGAUUAUUACAUGGAGGUGAGAAAUCACAUCUCAUCAACUUUGCAUAAACAUGGAGCAGUUAAAAGAGCUCGAGUUAACAGUUAAGUUAGAGCAUGGAUUCAAGUUAGUAACCUGAUUUCAGGUUACUAAACACAAUAAGGUGCACCACAGACAAAGUACAAUGGGACUUAGCAUGUUGGAGUCAACUUACAUGGAUAUCGACAACCUAAAUGGAAAGUAUUGAAAAAUCCAGCCAGUGAGAAAGUGACUUUUCAGCAAAAUCCAAAACUUUGCCUUUCGAGGUCAGCUGAGUAACAUGUGAAAACUGGGGCUGGAAAGUAGUCUACUUUAUCUGCUUUAAGACUGAAAAAGGCAACAGUCAACUUUUCCCCCACAUUUUGCCGCUUCAAGAAAUUUCACACUCCCGCCACAUAGUUUUUGCUCCAAGUCUUCUUGUACUCUCUAAUUGUACAGUCCAUGGGACCCAGUACUUGAUCCUGCCUACUUUAGAUUUUAUUCUUAUUCUUAUUGUACAAGAAAGCAUACAAUACAAUAAAGAGAUGUCGAAUUCUUGUCCAUUAAUACAAGUCUUAUUCUUAUUGAAA